AGCCCCCGGAUAUAUGUAUUAUCUCGAUCGGGGGUGAGACCUGCCCAGUGAGUAAAUCUUUAACGGCUGCAGUAUCCUGACUGUACUAAGGUAGCAUAAUCAUUUGGCCUUUAAUUGGGGUCUGGUAUGAAAGGUUACACGGGAAGAGACUGUCUCUAAACUAAUACAUAGAAUUUAACCUAGGGGUGCAGAGGCCCCUUUUGCUCAAAAGGACGAGAAGACCCCAUAGAGCUUUAAAACUUUAUUAGUAAAAGUAAUAGUAGUUUUUUUGGUUGGGGCGACCCGGGAAACAGAAGUAACUUCCCGAUUAAAAAUCAAGCAAAGAGGAGCCAUUACUAAUAAUGAUCUUUUGAGCUAAAGCUACCUUGGGGAUAACAGCAUAAUGCUUAUUUAGAGACCUUAUCAAAAUAAGCGCUUAUGACCUCGAUGUUGGACUAGAGUCUCUCCCAAGAUGCAGAAGUUUUUGUGUGUUAGCCUGUUCGGCUAUUAAAACUCU
rnacentral:rRNA from 1 species